AGCGAAACUGCGAACGGCUCAAUACAACAGAUAUAAUCUACGUGCUAUGACGUUUUACACGGAUAACUGCGGUAAUACUGGAGCCAAUACGUGCUAAAAGCCGAAUUCAGCGAUGAGUUCGGUGCACUUAUCGGAGCAAAACCUUUCUUGGUUUUAUGCUAACUCUGGAUAACCUUGCUUAUCGCACGACUUUGUGUCGGCGAAGUUGCACUCGAGUAUCUGCCUUAUCAACUAUCGUCGGUAGUGUAUUGGACUACCGAGGUGUUGACGGGUAACGGAGAAUCAGGGUUCGACUCCGGAGAGGGAGCCUUAGAAACGGCUACCAUGUCUAAGGACAGCAGCAGGCGCGCAACUUAUCCACUGUUUAUUGAACGAGAUAGUGACGAGAAAUAACAAGCUCGUUCUCUUCGAGGUCGAGCAUUGGAAUGGACGGAACGUAAACAAUUCCGUGAGUAUCAACGAGAGGGCAAGUCUGGUGCCAGCAGCCGCGGUAAUUCCAGCUCUCGUAAUGUAUAGAAUUAUUGUUGCGGUUAAAAAGUUCGUAGUUGGAUUUUCUACUGCGACUGG
rnacentral:rRNA from 1 species